rnacentral:rRNA from 1 species
AUUGAACGCUGGCGGCAUGCCUUACACAUGCAAGUCGAACGGUAACAGGCCGCAAGGUGCUGACGAGUGGCGAACGGGUGAGUAAUGUAUCGGAACGUGCCCAGUCGUGGGGGAUAACUGCUCGAAAGAGCAGCUAAUACCGCAUACGACCUGAGGGUGAAAGCGGGGGAUCGCAAGACCUCGCGCGAUUGGAGCGGCCGAUAUCAGAUUAGGUAGUUGGUGGGGUAAAGGCCCACCAAGCCAACGAUCUGUAGCUGGUCUGAGAGGACGACCAGCCACACUGGGACUGAGACACGGCCCAGACUCCUACGGGAGGCAGCAGUGGGGAAUUUUGGACAAUGGACGCAAGUCUGAUCCAGCCAUGCCGCGUGCGGGAAGAAGGCCU